UGGGGGAGUAGUUCAACUGGUAGAGCGUCGGUCUCCAAAACCGAAUGUUGCAGGUUCGAGUCCUGUCUCCCCUGCCAA
rnacentral:tRNA from 1 species